UACGUAGGGGGCAAGCGUUGUCCGGAGUUACUGGGCGUAAAGCGCCCGCAGGCGGUUGCUUGCGUCUCAGGUGACAGCCCGUCGCUUAACGAAGGGAGGGCCUGAGAGACGAGGUGACUGGAGGGCCAGAGAGGGACAUGGAACUCCGGGUGGAGCGGUGAAAUGCGUAGAGAUCCGGAAGAACACCAAAGGCGAAGGCAGUGUCCUGGCUGGUACCUGACGCUCGGGGGCGAAAGCGAGGGGAGCGAACGGG
rnacentral:rRNA from 2 species